CUCUGUUGAUGCAUUUAGUGACGCAUCAGUAUUGCUGAAUCGGUGUUUGGUGUGGGUUUUUUCUCCCCUAGCUUUGGGAUUUGCCUCCUAGUCAGCAGUAGACUGUUUUGUCCUGCUCUGCUAUACCUGCACAUGACUUAAACCUUUUCCCUUGUUUUCACAGCUUCUGGCCCUGGCUGGGUGAAUCCUCCCAGCAGUCGCUUGCAGCUGAGUACAGUGCAGGACAUGGAGGUGAUCUCCUGCCCGCUGAGCCCGCUGCCCACUCAGAGAUGAGGCCUGGUGAGAUUCAGGCUUCCCUCACUUCAUGAAUUCCUCUGUGCCCCUCAGGCUGUGCCCUGGAGGACAGCAUGGAGGACUCCUGGCCUCCCUGAUCCCACCGCAGCAGAUACAAGCAGAGAAGCUGUUCUGACGACGUGGGAAGAUGCCGUUUCUGAGGCAGCCAGGGCUCUCAGCAGCCUGCAUUAUUUCUGGCGGGACUGUCAGUUCUCCAAGCACCACUACCUCAUUUUUAACGCAGAUCUGUUGGAAGACAUUUGGUCCAUCCUGCUUUUGUCAGCCACGGGCAGCAAAGUAGCCAUGGAGAGGCUGUGUGGAGAGACCACCACUCCAUGCCCUGGAGCCGAUGCCAGCAGCAGCCUGCUGUGUGCGCCGGGGGACAGAGAGCCCCAGCAGGCAGCCCAGCGCCCCGGGGAGAAGCCCGACCCCCACACAGGCAGCACGUGGGGGCACCGCGCUCCCACGGAGGCCACCUGUCCGGCUGCACACGCACACGUUUACCUUUGCUGGGCCGUACUUGAGGCCAGCCGGGCAGCGCACAGCUGGUGAGGGCAGGCUGCAUUGAACGCCCGAAGCUGCAAGUGGAAAAGUCGUCGCCCCGGCAGUAGCGAGGUGAGUUUGUGCCAGCACAGAGCCUGGGGGCAGGCGGCGAUGGCUGAGUGCUGCUGGAGCAGGGCUCGUAAAGGUGGGCAGCAGCACUUCUGAGGCAGACGGGCGUCUGCGGAGAGCAG
ensembl:lncRNA